rnacentral:rRNA from 1 species
UACGUAGGGGGCAAGCGUUGUCCGGAAUCAUUGGGCGUAAAGAGCGCGUAGGCGGUCCGGUAAGUCCGCUGUGAAAGUCAAGGGCUCAACCCUUGAAUGCCGGUGGAUACUGCCGGGCUAGAGUCCGGAAGAGGCGAGUGGAAUCCUGGUGUAGCGGUGAAAUGCGCAGAUAUCAGGAGGAACACCGGUGGCGAAGGCGGGUCUCUGGGCCGAAUGACUGACGCUGGAGGAGCGAAAGCGUGGGGAGCGAACAGG